rnacentral:rRNA from 1 species
AACGAACGCUGGCGGCAUGCCUAACACAUGCAAGUCGAACGAGACCUUCGGGUCUAGUGGCGCACGGGUGCGUAACGCGUGGGAAUCUGCCCUUGGGUUCGGAAUAACUUCGGGAAACUGAAGCUAAUACCGGAUGAUGACGUAAGUCCAAAGAUUUAUCGCCCAAGGAUGAGCCCGCGUAGGAUUAGCUAGUUGGUGAGGUAAUGGCUCACCAAGGCGACGAUCCGUAACUGGUCUGAGAGGAUGAUCAGUCACACUGGAACUGAGACACGGUCCAGACUCCUACGGGAGGCAGCAGUGGGGAAUAUUGGACAAUGGGCGAAAGCCUGAUCCAGCCAUGCCGCGUGUGUGAAGAAGGUCUUCGGAUUGUAAAGCACUUUAAGUUGGGAGGAAGGGUAGUAACCUAAUACGUUGCUACUUUGACGUUACCGACAGAAUAAGCACCGGCUAACUUCGUGCCAGCAGCCGCGGUAAUGUCGUAC